rnacentral:lncRNA from 1 species
UCGAGUCAAGUUCCAGAAGCACCCUCAGACUUCAGUCUCUCAGAUUCUCAGACUCUCCCUCGACUCCCUCUCCCUAUCCCUUCCUUCCCUCAACUUCAACUCUCAUACUCUCUCAGUCUCACACACUUACUCUCACAGUGCUCACCGCCGUCGAGACCAACACAACAGUUUAGUGGUAAUCUCCGUACGGUGCGUUUCAAUCAAUGGCUGCGAAUCACUGGCUAAGGCCCGAGGUAAGCGUAGAUCUACCUCUGAUACUUGAUCUUUUCCUUUCGUUUUGUGCUAGAUUGGCUUUGAUUCUGUUAGCUCGACUUUCAAUCCGGCAUUGUAUUGUAUGCAUGUAGGUUUAUCAAUUAUUCGCUGCCAUAGGGGUCACCGUAUGGAUCUGCAGGUUGGGUCUCUAGCACCAUGUCACCAUCAACCUUGAACAAGGUCCCUGCCACACACCACCUAACCACCAUCUUCGUUGAACGAGUUCAUCAACGCCAAGAACUUGAGGUUGGUGAGCCCCCUGCUGCGAUUAUGCUUCCAAUUUUCAAAAAACCCAAAUUGGUUUUGAUUUAGGUUCCCCGAUGGCUCUGUAGGGAAAUUUAAUUUGGGUUUUUCUAGAUUUUUUAGGGGUUUGGGAAAAUUUUCUAAUAUGGGUUUUGCAGGUAUUUUUUCUUUCCUAUGUAGUUCAUCGACCAUGCAUUAGAAAUCAUGUAAUUUUCUGGUUUUUGUUGAAUUUGUAACAUAAAAUUUUCAUGAUGGACGUAACCUGCUCUUUGGUUCUACAAGCUUCUUCUUUUUCGAUCGGCACCGGAACCGUUCCUCCUGCUUCAAUCUUAGUAUGCCCAUAACGGGAAAAACAAAACAAAAAAAUUGUUGGACUGACUAAAUGUGAUAACCAGUCCCUAAUUUUACAAUUUUAUAAAUUUUAAAAGUGUGAUUUUACAAAAAUGCCCUUAGAGUCAAGGGUGUUGACUUUCGUUGAUCAACGUACAAUGAUACAUACGACUUAUUCUUUCAGCGUAUUUUGCGUAGUACCUGAUGAUACGAACGCAUAGACGCAAGCGGAAGUGAACUUAGAGCUACAGUUAAAGUUCUACGGAGCUACAAAUCCAAAAAGUACGUUUCUAAGGAUUUCCAUUAUUUAUUAUUUUAUAUUUUCAUAAGUAUUAUUAAAUUAGUUUAAGGUUAUCUUGUGAAAAAAAAAGAA